GGAUAGCUCAGCUGGCUAGAGCAUAGUGUUGAUAACACCACAGUUGUGGGUUCGAUUCCUGUAUGGGACAGCAGCA